AGCAGCCGCGGUAAUUCCAGCUCCAAUAGCGUAUAUUAAAGUUGUUGCAGUUAAAAAGCUCGUAGUUGAAUUUCGGGAUUGGCGCAUCGGUCGUGCCUCACGGGGUAUGAACUGGUGCAGUCAAUUUCUCACCUUCUGGAGAACCGCGAUGUCCUUAAUUGGAUGCCGCGGGGAACCAGGACCUUUUACUUUGAAAAAAUUAGAGUGUUUAAAGCAGGCAUUUUUGCUUGAAUACAUUAGCAUGGAAUAAUAAAAUAGGACGGCAUGGUUCUAUUUUGUUGGUUUCUAGGACCACCGUAAUGAUUAAUAGGGAUAGUUGGGGGCAUUAGUAUUCAAUUGUCAGAGGUGAAAUUCUUGGAUUUAUUGAAGACUAACUACUGCGAAAGCAUUUGCCAAGGAUGUUUUCAUUAAUCAAGAACGAAAGUUAGGGGAUCGAAGACGAUCAGAUACCGUCGUAGUCUUAACCAUAAACUAUGCCGACUAGGAAUCAGACGAUGUUAAUUUUUUAAUGACUCGUUUG
rnacentral:rRNA from 1 species